AAAAGAAAAAGAGAAUGAAACGAAACAGAGAGCAGGGGGAAAGAAAGAAGGAAGGAAGAAAGAAAGAAGGAAAAAGGGAAAAAUUGGGAUUUCAAGGCCUGAAAGUUAAAUAGGUUAAGCUAAAGAAAGAUUGUCGAAUCAGCAUCCUAAGCCGAUCCCAAACUCAACAAGGUAAAAUAUGUUAAUUGUUGAUAAUGGCAUGUACCUAGGCUAUUAAGUUAAUAGAGUAAAAAUGUUCAAGAAUGGUUUAAAGAUGUUAGGUCAUAAAUUGAAAUCUGCAUGCUUGAAUGUUAAUAUAA